rnacentral:rRNA from 1 species
AUUGAACGCUGGCGGCAUGCCUUACACAUGCAAGUCGAACGGUAACAGGUUAAACUGACGAGUGGCGACCGGGUGAGUAAUGUAUCGGAACGUGCCCAGUCGUGGGGGAUAACUGCUCGAAAGAGCAGCUAAUACCGCAUACGACCUGAGGGUGAAAGCGGGGGAUCGCAAGACCUCGCGCGAUUGGAGCGGCCGAUAUCAGAUUAGGUAGUUGGUGAGGUAAAGGCUCACCAAGCCGACGAUCUGUAGCUGGUCUGAGAGGACGACCAGCCACACUGGGACUGAGACACGGCCCAGACUCCUACGGGAGGCAGCAGUGGGGAAUUUUGGACAAAGGGCGCAAGCCUGAUCCAGCCAUGCCGCGUGCGGGAAGAAGGCCUUCGGGUUGUAAACCGCUUUUGUCAGGGAAGAAAAGGUUCUGGCUAAUACCUGGGACUCAUGACGGUACCUGAAGAAUAAGCACCGGCUAACUACGUG